rnacentral:lncRNA from 1 species
AGGUUCUCAGCUUGGAGACCAGGCCUAGAAUUUCCUGUACUGAACUGAUGCUGACAAGUUCCUGCCUCAGCCUCCUAAGGACCGAGAUUAUAAGCAUGUGCCAAUUCACCUACCUCCAUGAUUUUGUUAACUGUUGUUAAAACCGUCUUGCAUGAACAAUCUCAGACCACGGGCAGACAGGUGUCUUAAAUUCCAAAUGCAAGACCGCAGGCACGCUGACAGAAUCAUGGGAGUGAACUAUGAUUACCCGGCUUGCUGUGCACUGCAUGCUGACAAGCAUCGGAAAGGUAGGAGAAACAAAGUAGACCAAAACAACUUUGACAGAAGCCCCCUGCAGGGCAAAUGAGGAUGGUGCAGUCUAUCAAUUUUCUGAGUAAGUGUGUACAGCUUCAAGUGAUUUAUUGAAAAUUACAUACCCUACAUCUGAGGAUUCAAACAGGUCCUUUUUUUUUUUUAACACUUUAAUGGUGGAAAAAAGGGAUUUUUGUAGGUCCUGGGUAAGUGGAAAUAAAUACUAAAUAAUUUAAUUAGAAUUCA